rnacentral:rRNA from 1 species
GGUUAAGCGACUAAGCGUACACGGUGGAUGCCCUGGCAGUCAGAGGCGAUGAAGGACGUGCUAAUCUGCGAUAAGCGUCGGUAAGGUGAUAUGAACCGUUGUAACCGGCGAUUUCCGAAUGGGGAAACCCAGUGUGAUUCGUCACACUAUCAUUAACUGAAUCCAUAGGUUAAUGAGGCGAACCGGGGGAACUGAAACAUCUAAGUACCCCGAGGAAAAGAAAUCAACCGAGAUUCCCCCAGUAGCGGCGAGCGAACGGGGAG